CGCGGCCUAUCAGCUUGUUGGUGGGGUAACGGCCUACCAAGGCGAUGACGGGUAGCGGGUCUGAGAGGAUGAUCCGUCACACUGGGACUGAGACACUGCCCAGACUCCUACGGGAGGCUGCAGUCGAGAAUCUUCCACAAUGGACGAAAGUCUGAUGGAGCGACACCGCGUGCAGGAUGAAGGCCCUAGGGUUGUAAACUGCUGUCACGCUAUAGGAACCCACGGUGGUGAAUAGUCAUCGUGCUGACUAAAGCGAGAGGAAGCGCCGGCUAACUCCGUGCCAGCAGCCGCGGUAAUACGGAGGGCGCAAGCGUUGUUCGGAUUCACUGGGCAUAAAGAGCACGUAGGCGGUCUGCUCAGUCGGGUGUGAAAGCCCACGGCCUAACCGUGGAACUGCACCCGAUACUGGUAGACUCGAGGACGGAAGGGGUGAGUGGAACUCCAGGUGGAACGGUGAAAUGUAUAGAUAUCUGGAGGAACACCGGUGGCGAAAGCGGCUCACUGGUCCGUCUCUGACGCUGAGGUGCGAAAGCUAGGGUAGCGAACGGGAUUAGAUACCCCGGUAGUCCUAGCCGUAAACGAUGGGCACUAGGCAAUGGGCCAUCCUAUGGGGCUCAUUGCCGUAGCUAAUGUGUUAAGUGCCCCGCCUGGGGAGUACGG
rnacentral:rRNA from 1 species